rnacentral:rRNA from 1 species
AGUCGACGAAGCACCUUAUUCUGAUUUCUUCGGAAUGAAAAAUUUGGUGACUGAGUGGCGGACGGGUGAGUAACGCGUGGGUAACCUGCCUCAUACAGGGGGAUAACAGUUAGAAAUGACUGCUAAUACCGCAUAAGACCACAGCACCGCAUGGUGCAGGGGUAAAAACUCCGGUGGUAUGAGAUGGACCCGCGUCUGAUUAGGUAGUUGGUGGGGUAACGGCCUACCAAGCCGACGAUCAGUAGCCGACCUGAGAGGGUGACCGGCCACAUUGGGACUGAGACACGGCCCAAACUCCUACGGGAGGCAGCAGUGGGGAAUAUUGCACAAUGGGGGAAACCCUGAUGCAGCGACGCCGCGUGAGCGAUGAAGUAUUUCGGUAUGUAAAGCUCUAUCAGCAGGGAAGAAAAUGACGGUACCUGACUAAGAAGCACCGGCUAAAUACGUGCCAGCAGCCGCGGUAAUACGUAUGGUGCAAGCGUUAUCCGGAUUUACUGGGUGUAAAG